rnacentral:rRNA from 1 species
AUUGAACGCUGGCGGCAUGCUUUACACAUGCAAGUCGAACGGUAACAGGCCGCAAGGUGCUGACGAGUGGCGAACGGGUGAGUAAUGCAUCGGAACGUGCCCAGUCGUGGGGGAUAACUGCUCGAAAGAGCAGCUAAUACCGCAUACGAUCUAUGGAUGAAAGCGGGGGACCGUAAGGCCUCGCGCGAUUGGAGCGGCCGAUGUCAGAUUAGGUAGUUGGUGGGGUAAAGGCUCACCAAGCCAACGAUCUGUAGCUGGUCUGAGAGGACGACCAGCCACACUGGGACUGAGACACGGCCCAGACUCCUACGGGAGGCAGCAGUGGGGAAUUUUGGACAAUGGGGCAACCCUGAUCCAGCAAUGCCGCGUGCAGGAAGAAGGCCUUCGGGUUGUAAACUGCUUUUGUACGGAACGAAACGGUCUGGGUUAAUACCCUGGGCUAUGACGGUACCGUAAGAAUAAGCACCGGCUAACUACGUGCCAGCCGCCGCCGUAACAC